CCUACGGGUGGCUGCAGUGGGGAAUAUUGCACAAUGGGCGCAAGCCUGAUGCAGCCAUGCCGCGUGUGUGAAGAAGGCCUUCGGGUUGUAAAGCACUUUCAGCGGGGAGGAAGGCGGUGAGGUUAAUAACCUCAUCGAUUGACGUUACCCGCAGAAGAAGCACCGGCUAACUCCGUGCCAGCAGCCGCGGUAAUACGGAGGGUGCAAGCGUUAAUCGGAAUUACUGGGCGUAAAGUGCACGCAGGCGGUCUGUCAAGUCGGAUGUGAAAUCCCCGGGCUCAACCUGGGAACUGCAUUCGAAACUGGCAGGCUAGAGUCUUGUAGAGGGGGGUAGAAUUCCAGGUGUAGCGGUGAAAUGCGUAGAGAUCUGGAGGAAUACCGGUGGCGAAGGCGGCCCCCUGGACAAAGACUGACGCUCAGGUGCGAAAGCGUGGGGAGCAAACAGGAUUAGAUACCCUAGUAGUC
rnacentral:rRNA from 1 species